GAUCCUGGCUCAGGAUGAACGCUGGCGGCGUGCUUAACACAUGCAAGUCGAGCGAAGCACUUAAGAAUGAUUCUUCGGAUGAAGACUUUUGUGACUGAGCGGGCGGACGGGUGAGUAACGCGUGGGUAACCUGCCUCAUACAGGGGGAGUAACAGUUAGAAAUGGCUGCUAAUACCGCAUAAGACCACAGUACUGCAUGGUACAGUGGUAAAAACUCCGGUGGUAUGAGAUGGACCCGCCG
rnacentral:rRNA from 1 species